ensembl:lncRNA
GGCUCCUCGUUGUCUCCUCGAAUGGAAUUCCUGGGAAUUCCAGGCCCCAUAGAUUGUUAUCAGAGCCAAAGACCCUCAGCCAGAGGAUUGUGUUCCGACCAAGCAAGUCACACUGUUCUGGAUAUUGAUGAAUCACUUUCAAUUUGCAGUCCUUGAACAACUACCAGGACAGAACACGAGGAAUCAAUCCGGCACACGAUGGAGGAUUUGUGAGCAGUAAUUAAAGAUUGACUUCUUGAAGAACAGAAGGGCUCAAGACUGAGAACCACAGAACAUAUUCAAAGAAAUCAAUAGAAUAUUUGUUUUGACCCAAUAUCGUGUUUGUAAUGAUGUAUUGAUAUGGAAAGUAUGACUCCCAACCACUAGGUGGAGGCACCUGCGGUGCAUAAACAGAGCAUCUAGGAUCGGGUGAGAGAAAGACUACGAGAAUGCUAUUACAUGUUUAUUACAUGUUCACCUAUUUACCG